rnacentral:lncRNA from 1 species
GAAGGGUUAACGUCAUCUGAGCAGAUUAGGAAUUUUCUGGUUCUCUCCUCCGGAGUGAAAAGCGGAUUCAGAGGUUAGACCUUAAGUAGUGUUCCCAGCCAACCAAAGGCAGGAAUGGCCAGACUGGCUUUGGAGUCCAGAGUCCUCGGAGGCUCUCAGUCACUACUGUGAUCCCAAGAAGGCACUGAGAUGUCACCACAAGGAGCUGCCCAGCCCUGGCCAUCACCCCUGGGGAAACAGGCUGGAACUGGACUCCUGCAAGUCACUAAUUCCCUGACUCAAGAUCUUUUGGACUAGAUUGAGCAUCCAGCCUGUGCUAGCCCUUGAGGCCAGGGAGGCUUUAACGAUGUGAACACUGCACAGGCCUUCCAGAACAUGCCUCCAGCAGAACCCCAGCAGCACAUCCAGCAGCUCUGCCCGACCGGGUCUGGAUGUGGACCAAUCAGCUGCAGCCAAGAGGCAGGAUCAGCGAUUCAGCCCUGUGGACAGAGGGACCAGAGCCUUUGGAUCCUCCUCUGCUUC